GCAUAUCAAUAAGCGGAGGAAAAGAAACCAACAGGGAUUGCCCUAGUAACGGCGAGUGAAGCGGCAACAGCUCAAAUUUGAAAUCUGGCUUUCGGGCCCGAGUUGUAAUUUGUAGAGGAUGAUUUUGAUGCGGUGCCUUCCGAGUUCCCUGGAACGGGACGCCAUAGAGGGUGAGAGCCCCGUCUGGUUGGAUGCCAAAUCUCUGUAAAUCUCCUUCGACGAGUCGAGUAGUUUGGGAAUGCUGCUCUAAAUGGGAGGUAUAUGUCUUCUAAAGCUAAAUACCGGCCAGAGACCGAUAGCGCACAAGUAGAGUGAUCGAAAGAUGAAAAGCACUUUGAAAAGAGAGUUAAAAAGUACGUGAAAUUGUUGAAAGGGAAGCGUUUAUGACCAGACUUGGGCUUGGUUAAUCAUCUGGGGUUCUCUCCAGUGCACUUUUCCAGUCCAGGCCAGCAUCAGUUUUCGCCGGGGGAUAAAGGCUUCGGGAAUGUGGCUCCCCUCGGGGAGUGUUAUAGCCCGUUGUGUAAUACCCUGGCGGGGACUGAGGUUCGCGCUUCUGCAAGGAUGCUGGCGUAAUGGUCAUCAACGACCCGUCUUGAAACACGGACCAAGGAGUCGUCUUCGUAUGCGAGUGUUCGGGUGUCAAACCCCUACGCGUAAUGAAAGUGAACGCAGGUGAGAGCUUCGGCGCAUCAUCGACCGAUCCUGAUGUUCUCGGAUGGAUUUGAGUAAGAGCAUACGGGGCCGGACCCGAAAGAAGGUGAACUAUGCCUGUGUAGGGUGAAGCCAGAGGAAACUCUGGUGGAGGCUCGCAGCGGUUCUGACGUGCAAAUCGAUCGUCAAACAUGGGCAUGGGGGGCGAAAGACUAAUCGAACCUUCUAGUAGCUGGUUUCCGCCGA
rnacentral:rRNA from 1 species